rnacentral:rRNA from 1 species
CGCGUAGGCGGGCGGCCAGGUCCGGGGUGAAAGCCUCCAGCUCAACUGGAGAAGUGCCUCGGAUACUGGUCAUCUUGAGGGAGGUAGGGGCGUGCGGAACUUCCGGUGGAGCGGUGAAAUGCGUAGAUAUCGGAAGGAACACCGGUGGCGAAAGCGGCGCGCUGGACCUCUUCUGACGCUGAGGCGCGAAAGCCAGGGGAGCAAACGG